GGGCUGGCUUUAGCUCGGUGAUUCCUUCGAUGGUACUUACUUAACCAUCUGGUCUGGUGGCUUCCAUCAGUCCAGUGGUGUGAGAUCUGUGGGCACUCUCCAGCCCUUUA
ensembl:misc_RNA Vault Vault RNA